GUUACAAUGGCGGGGACAGCGGGAAGCCACCUGGCGACAGGGCGCGGAACCCGAAACCCCGUCUCAGUUCGGAUUGGAGUCUGCAACUCGACUCCAUGAAGCUGGAUUCGCUAGUAAUCGCGCAUCAGCCAUGGCGCGGUGAAUACGUUCCCGGGCCUUGUACACACCGCCCGUCAAGCCAUGGGAGUCGGGAGUGCCUGAAGUUCGUGACCGUCACAGGAGCGACCUAAGGUAAAACCGGUGACUGGGGCUAAGUCGUAACAAGGUAAC
rnacentral:rRNA from 1 species